AAUUACCCAAUCCUGACACAGGGAGGUAGUGACAAGAAAUAACAAUACAGGGCUUAAAGUCUUGUAAUUGGAAUGAUGGGAAUCUAAACCCUUCCCAGAGUAUCAAUUGGAGGGCAAGUCUGGUGCCAGCAGCCGCGGUAAUUCCAGCUCCAAUAGCGUAUAUUAAAGUUGUUGCAGUUAAGAAGCUCGUAGUUGAAUUUCUGCCUUGUCAUUAAUCUCGCUUCCGAGCGUCUUUUUAUUGACUUGGCAUCUUCUGGAUUUGGUGCCUUCGGGUACUAUUUUCCAGGAUUUACUUUGAGAAAACUAGAGUGUUUCAAACAGGCAUUCGCCUUGAAUACUACAGCAUGGAAUAAUGAAGUAGGACUUUGGUUCUAUUUUGUUGGUUAUUGAGCCAGAGUAAUGGUUAAUAGGAGCAGUUGGGGGCAUUCGUAUUUAA
rnacentral:rRNA from 1 species